GGAGAUUGUAAUGGCUCUAGAAGAAGAGUUCAAGCUUGUUUAAACAUAUUUGCAAACAUCUUUGAUUAAUCCAAAAGGAGGAAGCUCUAAAAGUUCGUGCGUCUAAAGCUAGUGAAGUGGGUGAAAGAGAGAAGAAAAUAGAAGCUGAGGUUGCAGAGCUUGAAAGACAAAGGGAUGAUCUUGAGGCUCAAUUGAAAAAGGUUUUGGAUUUGCAAGAUGAUUUCAAGUUGGCUAUUGGCUUGAUUGAUUAGCUUCUACGCUGGUUUCAAUAUUGUUGCUGUUAUUGGUGAAUAUUGUUAUGAAUUUUGUGAUGUGUUUGAUUCUUCAAGCUUGGGAUGCACCGGCAAUGAGUGACGAUUUCUAUUUGAGGCAGGUGGAUUGGUUGCUGCAUAAUGUAUUGGCUGUGGGAGAGGAAAACUGUGUUCAUUUGUGGAAUGUUUGUAGUAGUAAACACUAAAUGUAAUGUGAAUGUAAUGUGCAUUUUCUGGAAUCACAGUGUAUAUAUUACUUCUGAA